rnacentral:rRNA from 1 species
GAUGAACGCUGGCGGCGUGCCUAAUACAUGCAAGUCGAGCGAACAGACGAGGAGCUUGCUCCUCUGACGUUAGCGGCGGACGGGUGAGUAACACGUGGAUAACCUACCUAUAAGACUGGGAUAACUUCGGGAAACCGGAGCUAAUACCGUAUAACAUGUUGAACCGCAUGGUUCAACAGUGAAAGACGGUCUUGCUGUCACUUAUAGAUGGAUCCGCGCCGCAUUAGCUAGUUGGUAAGGUAACGGCUUACCAAGGCAACGAUGCGUAGCCGACCUGAGAGGGGGUACGGCCAAACUGGAACUGAGACACGGCCCAGACCCCCACGGGAGGCAGCAGUAGGGAAUUUGCCGAAAGGGGGGAAAGCCUGACGGAGCAACGCCGGGGGGGGGAAGAAGGUUUGCGGUUCGUAAAACUCUUUUAUUAGGGAAAAACAAAUGUGUAAGUAACUAUGAACGUCUGGACGGUACCAAAUCAGAAAGCCCCGGUUAACUACGU